GGGGAAUAUUGCACAAUGGGCGAAAGCCUGAUGCAGCAACGCCGCGUGAGUGAUGAAGGUCUUCGGAUUGUAAAGCUCUGUCUUUUGGGACGAUAAUGACGGUACCAAAGGAGGAAGCCACGGCUAACUACGUGCCAGCAGCCGCGGUAAUACGUAGGUGGCGAGCGUUGUCCGGAUUUACUGGGCGUAAAGGGUGCGUAGGCGGAUGUUUAAGUGAGAUGUGAAAUACCCGGGCUUAACUUGGGUGCUGCAUUUCAAACUGGAUAUCUAGAGUGCAGGAGAGGAGAAUGGAAUUCCUAGUGUAGCGGUGAAAUGCGUAGAGAUUAGGAAGAACACCAGUGGCGAAGGCGAUUCUCUGGACUGUAACUGACGCUGAGGCACGAAAGCGUGGGUAGCAAACAGGAUUAGAUACCCUGGUAGUCCACGCCGUAAAACGAUGAGUACUAGGUGUAGGAGGUAUCGACCCCUUCUGUGCCGCAGUAAACACAUUAAGUACUCCGCCUGGGGAAGUACCGAUCGCAAGAUUAAAAACUCU
rnacentral:rRNA from 1 species